rfam:Helianthus annuus linkage group 9, whole genome shotgun sequence.
AGGCCGUGAUGGGGGCACUUGCGUAAUAGCUCCUUGAACCUUUCCCAAGUUUCAUAUAAGGAUUCCCCAUCCUCUUGUGAGUAUGUAUUAAUUUCAGCCAUUAAUUU